GUUUUUUGGAAGAAUACAUCAUGGAAGGGUCUUAAUAUGUGGCAGGGCUCUUAAAUUUAUUUUAAUGUAUUCAAAUUAAGUAUUUUUAAACUGUUGAGUCCAAAGUGAAAAAUUUGGGAAACUUGACAGCUAUCAAUGCUAGGUGGCAUAUUGACCUUAACUAGGAAAUGCUGUUUCUUUGAAAAAGGAAAUAGAAAUGCCCUAUGGCUGUUUCUAGCCUAAAAAACUUUGUGGGGUUCAUUCAAGGCUCUAGAUAUAAUAAAAGGCUGAGAAAACUGAAUAGUGGUAGACAGCAGAGUUCCUGUAAAUUGGACACAAAUAACCAGAGGAGCUGGCCUGUCUCUGUUACCAAAACAGCUCGGGUCCUUUGGGAAGAAAAAGCAAUUUGUUUGGCAGUCCUGCUGAGGUGCUGCUCAUGUUUAUCACUAUGAUCUACUCAUCAGGUGCAUCUGACAUGGGGGUCAUGAAUCAGGAACAAAAAACCUGUCCCAAGAUACUGCAGCUAAAAGCAUGGCAUUCCCUUGACACCUGGCCCAGGAAAAGGCACUCCACAUUCCCAGAGAUUUUCAGCAGACAAUAGAGUACUUCUGCGUUGAAAGACUUUAAACCGCCAGAGAUUGUUUUUGUAAGUGUCUCAGUAAUAAGCUAGUUACUAGGAUAAAGAUCACAGAAGCACAGAAUCACAGAAUGGUUGAGGUUGGAAGGGACCUCUGGAGAUCAUCUAGUCCAACUCCCCUGCUCAAGCAGGGUCACCUAGACCAUGUUGCACAGGCUCGCGUCCAGGCGGGUUGUAUUAUUUAUUUCAAUUAAAAUAUCUGGGGCAAGUAGAUCAGGGAGCAAUCAUAAGAUCUGGUGAUCUCACUGGAAAAACAGAUUUUCUGUAAUUUUUCUGUAACUGUAUUUUUCAUAAUUCUUCAUAAACUUAAGUUUCUUUUUAUGAUAAAUAUAUAGAGUGAAUUAUUUCCUUAAAAUGAAAAUUUUAAUUUAGAGUUAGAAUUGCUCAGCUGCAUUUCCUAUCAAUGUCAUAGUUAAAUUCCAGGAAACUGCUCAUAUAGGCAUCAAACUGUGAGUACUAACCUCAAAUUAUGAGUUUUAUUAACCAAACAUCAUAAUAUCCGAACACCCACACAGACACCUCAGCCCCACAGCAAGUUUAGUUUUAUGCCGACGUACAAUGAUCUACAAUUCACAUCUCCACUUCCUAUACAAGAGAGAACUCCUAUUCACUGCAAAAUUCCAAAAGUGCCUAGGGUCUGAAAAACAAGUUAAAGAUAUGUGUACACGGACUGAUGCUUGUACUUUACCUACUGGAUUCUGUGCAAAUUAAGGUCUUUGAGGAAACAUUUUUAAAAAGGAUUAAUCUGCAAAUGUUGCUUUUGUAAGAAUUAGUGAUUGUUGUGCCAUACGAGCACGGUAGAAAAAUCAGGGUUU
rnacentral:lncRNA from 1 species